rnacentral:rRNA from 1 species
GUGCCAGCAGCCGCGGUAAUACGUAGGUGGCAAGCGUUGUCCGGAAUUAUUGGGCGUAAAGCGCGCGCAGGCGGCUUCUUAAGUCUGAUGUGAAAUCUCGGGGCUCAACCCCGAGCGGCCAUUGGAAACUGGGGAGCUUGAGUGCAGAAGAGGAGAGUGGAAUUCCACGUGUAGCGGUGAAAUGCGUAGGGAUGUGGAGGAACACCAGUGGCGAAGGCGACUCUCUG